GUGCUUCCUCCAAACCACAAGGAGCAGGGCUCUAAGCUAGAGACUCUAUGUGGCUCUUGGAGACAGAACCAAGAUCCUCCAGUAAAAGGGACAAGGAAGAAGAUCCAAUGGAACAAGUAAUAUUUGGUCUGACAACUGCACAGUGUUCACCGGCUGAUGUUUUCCAGGCCUCAAAGGUGGCAGGGCAGACUCGGACAUCUGCAUUUUACAGGAGCACGCCAUGUUCCCCUUCCUCUGGGCCGUGGGCAAGUAAUUCUGCAACAUCUAACUGAACAACAAGUGCUGGUUCGAAAUGGUUACAAGAUAACUGUAUGAGGGAGAGUAAAGCAAAGUGUCAAUGCAA